rnacentral:rRNA from 1 species
UACGAAGGGGGCUAGCGUUGCUCGGAAUCACUGGGCGUAAAGGGUGCGUAGGCGGGUCUUUAAGUCAGGGGUGAAAUCCUGGAGCUCAACUCCAGAACUGCCUUUGAUACUGAGGAUCUUGAGUUCGGGAGAGGUGAGUGGAACUGCGAGUGUAGAGGUGAAAUUCGUAGAUAUUCGCAAGAACACCAGUGGCGAAGGCGGCUCUUUGGUCUGUAACUGACGCUGAGGCGCGAAAGCGUGGGGAGCAAACAGG